UAGGGUUACGGCCCUUUUAGAAUUUGUCUGGAAGGUUUCCUGGUCUCUCCUAGAAGACUGCCCUC
rfam:Otolemur garnettii contig088396, whole genome shotgun sequence.